rnacentral:rRNA from 1 species
AGCGAACGCUGGCGGCAGGCCUAACACAUGCAAGUCGAGCGCCGUAGCAAUACGGAGCGGCAGACGGGAGAGUAACACGUGGGAACGUACCCUUUGGUUCGGAACAACCCAGGGAAACUUGGGCUAAUACCGGAUAAGCCCUCACGGGGAAAGAUUUAUCGCCGAAGGAUCGGCCCGCGUCUGAUUAGCUAGUUGGUGGGGUAAUGGCCCACCAAGGCGACGAUCAGUAGCUGGUCUGAGAGGAUGAUCAGCCUCACUGGGACUGAGACACGGCCCAGACUCCUACGGGAGGCAGCAGUGGGGAAUAUUGGACAAUGGGCGCAAGCCUGAUCCAGCCAUGCCGCGUGGGUGAUGAAGGCCCUAGGGUUGUAAAGCCCUUCGGCGGGGAAGAUAAUGACGGUACCCGCAGAAGAAGCCCCGGCUAACUUCGUGCCAGCAGCCGCCGUAACAC